rnacentral:rRNA from 1 species
GACGAACGCUGGCGGCGUGCCUAAUACAUGCCAGUCGAACGCUGAAGGAGGAGCUUGCUUCUCUGGAUGAGUUGCGAACGGGUGAGUAACGCGUAGGUAACCUGCCUGGUAGCGGGGGAUAACUAUUGGAAACGAUAGCUAAUACCGCAUAAUAGUAGAUGUUGCAUGACAUUUGCUUAAAAGGUGCAAUUGCAUCACUACCAGAUGGACCUGCGUUGUAUUAGCUAGUUGGUGGGGUAACGGCUCACCAAGGCGACGAUACAUAGCCGACCUGAGAGGGUGAUCGGCCACACUGGGACUGAGACACGGCCCAGACUCCUACGGGAGGCAGCAGUAGGGAAUCUUCGGCAAUGGACGGAAGUCUGACCGAGCAACGCCGCGUGAGUGAAGAAGGUUUUCGGAUCGUAAAGCUCUGUUGUAAGAGAAGAACGAGUGUGAGAGUGGAAAGUUCACACUGUGACGGUAUCUUACCAGAAAGGGACGGCUAACUACGU